ACGCUGGCGGCGUGGCUAAGGCAUGCAAGUCGAACGGACUCCCUGAUGGGUAACUUGACGGGAAGUUAGUGGCGAACGGGUGAGGAGUACAUGGAUAACGUACCCCGGACACGGGAAUAGCGGCGGAGCUUCGGCUCCUUUGCGAAAGCGCCGGUAAUACCCGAUGAUCUCGCAGCAUCGAAUGGUGCAGCGGGCAAAGCUCCGACGGUCUGGGAGCGGUUCAUGUCCUAUCAGCUUGUUGGUGAGGUAACGGCUCACCAAGGCAACGACGGGUAUCGGGUGUGAGAGCAUGACCCGACACAUCGGGACUGAGACACUGCCCGGACACCUACGGGUGGCUGCAGCAACGAAUAUUCCGCAAUGGACGCAAGUCCGACGGAGCGACGCCGCGUGCAGGAGGAAGUCCUUCGGGAUGUAAACUGCUGUCAGGGGUUAGGAAAACCGACCAGCCCCAAAGGAAGCACCGGCUAAUUCCGUGCCAGCAGCCGCGGUAAUACGGAAGGUGCGAGCGUUGUUCGGAAUCACUGGGCUUAAAGCGCGUGUAGGCGGAAAGGCAGGUGUUGGGUGAAAGCCCUCGGCUCAACCGAGGAAUGGCCUGGCAAACCGCCUUUCUUGAGGCAGGUAGAGGUGACCGGAACAACUGGUGGAGCGGUGAAAUGCGUAGAUAUCAGUUGGAACGCCGGCGGCGAAAGCGGGUCACUGGGCCUGACCUGACGCUGAGACGCGAAAGCGUGGGGAGCAAACAGGAUUAGAUACCCUGGUAG
rnacentral:rRNA from 1 species